UUUAGGCAGUGACUUUCUACCGCUUGUCGGAUUUUCUUGUGCAAUGUGCCAGGAGUCUGGAGAAACUGGAGAAGAGCCCAAGAGACAUUUUUCAUCCUGAGAUACAAAAGGAUUUAUUGGUUCUUGAAGGGCAAGAGGUGAGUACAAGCCUAACUACUUCUUGCUCACAGACCCGUCCGGUGAAUGCGGCUUUGUAUUUGGAUGGGCUUUUGAUGACUUCUAAAUCAAUUGCUCGUUACAGUAAAAAGAAGUCAUGUUUUUUUGAACCUGACAGCAAAAAUAACUUGAAGCACCAACUUAAUAAUAAUUGAUCACCCGUCUAAGUUAAUGAUUUUAUGCUAUACUAUCAAAGUUUAAAGGUAAAUUAUUGUGUAGUAGGAGAUGGUAUAAAAUGUAUGUUCUAACGUGUAGGAUGUAUGCAAAGAUUAGAGGAAACAAAUUUUUAUGUCUUCUGUUUGACUGUUCACCAAAUAAUAUUUGGUUUUAUUUUCCUGGGAUCGGUGAAUUUUAAAUUUGGAGUCCUCUAUGCUAAGGAUGGUCAGCUUACAGGUGAUGAAAUGUUCAGUCAUGGGCAGGGAAGGACUCUCGUAUCCCGGUCGUCAGACUCAGCGCUGCCCGAGAAGAUACAGAGACUGUAAAAAUCAUAAGAAGCAACUAGGACUGCAGAGGAAACAAACUGGAGAGAACAAAAGGUCGUGCUCUGAUGCAUUUACAGAAGCCAUGGCAGGAGAGAGUCAGCUGCUGGAGAAGAGGAGACAGUACUAUCCCUGUGCAGCACGGAACUGUGCUACUGCUGUGUCAUCAGCUGUGUCUGCACUGAAAGUAGCCACCUUCACUUGUAGGUAGCUCCUUGGUGCUUUAGGACACGCUGAGGGAUUUAUUCCUUUUGGGAUCCACGAUGAGAAUUCCCAAGAGAGGUAGUAGUAAUAAGGUCUGAGAUUGGAAAAAAGCCUGUGUCCUUGGAAUGUUGUUGUUGUCGUCAAAAGUUAAUUUUUCCUUCUUUCUUA